CAGGCUCUUGCAUAUCUUGUCCCACAUAAACACAGCGGUAUCGGACCAUAGUCAGACUGCGAUUGCACAUGCGAUAUCCUACCUGAGGUGGAAGUCGCCCACGAGCAUGACCUUGGAUGGGCUGAGGCCGUCUACCCGGAGGCAUAGAUCCAUAGUUUGGACCCCAUUGUCCAACAACCACGCCUGCUACUUCUAAUUGUCCUCCUCGAGAUGGAACUGGACGUCGCAUUAAUCCACGAUGGGCUAGAUUUCCACUUCCACGACCUCGGACAAGACCUUCGUUGAUUGAGCAUCCCGCAGGAACAACUGAUAGCGGAGGACGAGCGAAGACAACAUUGACCCCUUCUAAGACAGCUUUCCGCAUUCUUUCGACUUUUAUAACUCGCUCUAUGUGCCCUCCACAAAGUUCCAAAAGAUUCUUUGCAAUCGUGGCACGGGCGAGUGUGUGAUGAAAUAGUUUACCGUCAAAGAAUAGCCAGGGGCAGCACAUUAACCAAGGUAUGGGAGCUCCGCAGGCGUCAUUUGCCAGUAACGCGGUUUCUACACCAGCCAUAAAUAAUGUCGCCAAUUGAACACCACGUGAUGUUACGAGAGGGAGCU
rnacentral:misc_RNA from 1 species